rnacentral:rRNA from 1 species
GAUGAACGCUGGCGGCGUGCCUAAUACAUGCAAGUCGAGCGAACAGACGAGGAGCUUGCUCCUCUGACGUUAGCGGCGGACGGGUGAGUAACACGUGGAUAACCUACCUAUAAGACUGGGAUAACUUCGGGAAACCGGAGCUAAUACCGGAUAAUAUAUUGAACCGCAUGGUUCAAUAGUGAAAGACGGUUUUGCUGUCACUUAUAGAUGGAUCCGCGCCGCAUUAGCUAGUUGGUAAGGUAACGGCUUACCAAGGCAACGAUGCGUAGCCGACCUGAGAGGGUGGUCGGCCACACUGGAACUGAGACACGGGCCCGACUCCUACGGGAGGGCGCAGUAGGGGAUCCUCCGCAAUGGGCGGAAGCCUGACGGAGCAACGCCGCGUGAGUGAUGGAGGUCUUCGGAUCGUAAAACCCUGUUAUUAGGGAAGAACAAAUGUGGAAGUAAAUAUGGCAGUCUUGACGGUACCUAAUCAGAAAGCCACGGCUAACUACGUG